AUAUUUGCCGAAAUAUAUUUAAUAAUGUUUUUAUAAUACGAAUAUUGAAUUUAAAUAGUUUAAAAAACGCUCCUGCCGCUUUCACUGCUAAUCGUCCAGAAACGCCGAUGUGCCUUGUGCAGACGUGACUGAACCUGGAAUUAUAGGAGUUAAUAUAAUGCUUCUAUUCUUGUGAAACAUAUACCUUUUUCCAACCGAGAUUUCCUGCACCAAGCCAACGACCAAGGCAAUCAUCGCUAAGUAGAGAGGGCUGAUUCCAACAUCGUACGACAACAACAAUAGCAUCUUACGGUAGAGGGUACCGCAGCAAGUUACGGCGAUAACGGCGAGAGGUCCAUCAUAUACAGAAGAUAAAGAAAGCCUGAAAAUUAAAACUAUAUCUCGAUCAAAUUUAGUGCAAUUUGAGCAUUUUCAUGUAUGCGAGUGAAGGCAGUGACGAAUUUAACGUAAUCUUGGGAAGGAAGAAAAGAAAUAAGCAAGCAAACAGUCCCAAAUGUAUGAAAAUAAUGUCUCAAGCGCUGAAGUUGUUCGAGGUUAUUAAAUUAUGUGGUGCCUGAUAUUUUUAUAUCAGCGAUACCGAAAAUACCACCAACAUCAUCUCAACAACUAAAGGCCUUCGGCGAAUAUGAAUGGUUUUAAAAGGAUAACUAAACUUUUUUAAUCGGACGGGGAUUUUCCAAUUUCUCGCAAACCUUCGCAAAGAAAAAAUAUUGAAGAAUCGAAGACUAUUUGAGACUUUGACUAUCUACAACUAACAUUUUCGAUGGUAUGCAAUGGAGCCUUGAGGGCUCAUAAUUUGCUCAGGUAUUUUUACCACGCAUCCUGAGAUUGGUAAAAAAAACUUUUGGAUAAUAACAGUUAAAAUUUAUGAAGGCAGAAAGUAGAAAUAUUUAAAUUUAAUGUUCAACAAUUUACGAAAUGAU